GUGGGGAAUCUUGCGCAAUGGGCGAAAGCCUGACGCAGCCAUGCCGCGUGAAUGAUGAAGGUCUUAGGAUUGUAAAAUUCUUUCACCGGGGACGAUAAUGACGGUACCCGGAGAAGAAGCUCCGGCUAACUUCGUGCCAGCAGCCGCGGUAAUACGAAGGGGGCUAGCGUUGCUCGGAAUUACUGGGCGUAAAGGGCGCGUAGGCGGACAGCUUAGUCAGAGGUGAAAGCCCAGGGCUCAACCUUGGAAUUGCCUUUGAUACUGGCUGUCUUGAGUUUGGGAGAGGGGAGGGGAACUCCGAGUGUAGAGGUGAAAGUCGUAGAUAUUCGGAAGAACACCAGUGGCGAAGGCGACUCACUGGCACAAUACUGACGCUGAGGCGCGAAAGCGUGGGGAGCAAACAGGAUUAGAAACCCUGGUAGUCC
rnacentral:rRNA from 1 species